rnacentral:rRNA from 1 species
GACGAACGCUGGCGGCGUGCUUAACACAUGCAAGUCGAACGGAAAGGCCCUGCUUUUGGGUGGUUCUCGAGUGGCGAACGGGUGAGUAACACGUGAGUAACCUGCCCUUGACUUUGGGAUAACUUCAGGAAACUGGGGCUAAUACCGGAUAGGAGCUCCUGCUGCAUGGUGGGGGUUGGAAAGUUUCGGCGGUUGGGGAUGGACUCGCGGCUUAUCAGCUUGUUGGUGGGGGAGUGGCUUACCAAGGCUUUGACGGGUAGCCGGCCUGAGAGGGUGACCGGCCACAUUGGGACUGAGAUACGGCCCAGACUCGUACGGGAGGCAGCAGUGGGGAAUAUUGCACAAUGGGCGGAAGUCUGAUGCAGCAACGCCGCGUGCGGGAUGACGGCCUUCGGGUUGUAAACCGCUUUCGCCUGUGACGAAGCGUGAGUGACGGUAAUGGGUAAAGAAGCACCGGCUAACUACGUG